rnacentral:ncRNA from 2 species
UUCUUAUCAAGAGUAGGUGGAGGGACAAGCCCGAUGAAGCCCGGCAACCGGCUUGGCGGUGAUCGCGAAGCACGGUGCUAAUUCUUGCAGCGGAAACGCUGAGAGAUAAGAA